UACGUAGGGGGCUAGCGUUGUCCGGAAUCAUUGGGCGUAAAGCGCGUGUAGGCGGUCCGGUAAGUCCGCUGUGAAAGUCGGGGGCUCAACCCUCGAAUGCCGGUGGAUACUGUCGGGCUAGAGUGCGGAAGAGGCGAGUGGAAUUCCUGGUGUAGCGGUGAAAUGCGUAGAGAUCAGGAAGAACACCGGUGGCAAAAGCGCUCUGCUAGGCCGCAACUGACACUCAUGGACGAAAGCUAGGGGAGCGAAUGGG
rnacentral:rRNA from 1 species